CUCUCACACCUCCCCAUCCUCCGGGCGGUGACGGGAAGCCCGGAAGGGGCGGGCACAAGGCUGUGGAGCGGUGGGGAGGGGCGUCCGCCGAAAGUGGCGGUUUACUUGAGGUGGUUUCCUUAGUGUCCAGUAUAGUUUGACUCUCCGGCCGAGCUCAGGACUCGUACUGCACCAGUGCUAUCUGGGCUGGAGUGGGCUCCCGCGUCCUCUGAAGCAGGCUUUUAUCUGUCCCAGAACUUGCGGGUUCAGCGUUUCUCUCCAUAUCCGGAUACCGAUUACGAAGUCACAGAUGCAAGGACGUAUGGCUCCCCUCAAGAAAUCUCAAAAUUCCACAAAGUUACCCCUGGCUUUAAACCCCACGAAGAGCAAGGACGUGUUAGCAGUGCUGGCUGAGAGGAAUCAAGCUGUAAUCCCAGUUGGGGUAUGGGUGGAACCUGCCUCCCCAAAUAGUUUGGAAAUCCCAGCAUCUACUUCAGCACAUAUGAUUGAAGAAGAACUAAAGGAACAACUACGAAAAAAACAAGAAGCUUUGAGACAUUUUCAGAGACAAGUCAAACACCGAGUCAAUCAACAAAUUAGACUGAAAAAACAGCAACAGCUUCAGAAGUCUUUUGAAGCAGCAGAAAAAGAAGGUUCUAUAGCCAUGCAAUCUUCAGAUCCAGCACACUUCACUCCUAAAGGGACAAGUAUUUUUCCAAGCAAUUUGAAUUCUGCAAUUGGAAGUUCUGGGUUACCUGCUUCCCAGAUGUUUGGGAGUGCAAUAAAAGAUGGAGAGAAUCAGAAUGAAUUAUUCCAACAACAAGCCCAAGCUCUUAGUCAAACCAUGAAACAAGUACGUCACCGGCUGGCAUCCCAUAAAACUGUGAGUAAAAAAAAGUCAUCAGUGUUUCCAGAUGGUAUGAGGAAAAGCUUUUCUAUCCAACAGGAAUCUGACAGUGAGGAAGUAUUAUCUAUUAUAACAAAUGAGAAAGGGAGAGACGAUUUAUUUUGGGGAGACAAGCAGAGUCUCUUUUCUGAAGACAAUGAUAAGCCUUUUAGCAGAGUUCAGAAAGUAAAAUUCAAAAAUCCAUUAUUUGUUGUCAUAGAAGAGAAAGAACAAAAGCAGUCACAUUUUCAGGGUCUUGAAGCCCAGGAUUAUCCUCUGGAAACCAAAGGUGAUUUGAUAGAAGUUCAGAGUAUUGAGCCUGAAAAGAGUAUUGAGCCAGAUGUCCAGGCUGUUGAUCUGGAAGUUCAAGCUAUUGAGCCAGAAUGCCAAGCCAUUGAAUCAGAAGUCCAGGCUUUUAAGACAGAAACUUGGAGUAUUAUGAUAAAAGCCAGUAGCACUGAGAUAGAAAAUAGGAAUAUUGAGUUAAAAGCACAGGAUUUUCUACCCAAAAACCAGGCCUUUCUGCCCAAAUGUGAGGACCAAGAUUCUCUACCCCAAAACCCCUAUGUUCUCCCUAAAGACCAGAAUAUUCUACCCAAAUAUCAGGACCAGAAUUUUCUGCAUAAAAACCAGGAUUUUCUACCCAGAGACCAGGAUAUUCUACCCAAAUGUCAGGACCAAGACUUUCUACCUGAUAAAGACCAGGAUUUUCUAUCUAGAAACCAGCAUGUGUUCCCUGAAGACCAGAAUAUUCUACACAAAUAUCAGGACCAAGAUUUUCUACAUGAUGACCAGGAUUUUCUAUGUAGAGACCAGUGUGUUCUUCCCAAAGACCAGAAUAUUCUUCUCAAAUGCCAGGACCAGGAUUUUCUCCCUAAAGAUCAGUACAUUCUCCUCUCAGAUGAGAAUCUUCUAUACAAAUGUCAGAAGCAGGAUAUUCCACUCAAAGAUCAGGAAAAAUAUAUCUGGCAGCCAUCAUUGGCUUUGACAGUUGAAAGAUGGAAAAAGGAGUGGCCUACAAGAACAGAAACAUAUCUUUCACAUAGGUUCCAAGGCCAGCCCUCUACUGGGGAUCAGUCAGAGAAAAAGGAGGAAGAGGAUCAACAGGAACACAGUAACUAUGGGCAAGCAUCACAUGAUAUGACAGAUGAGAAAUGGAGAAGAGAGUUGCUUCCAGAGUACCACAGAUAUGGUUUACAUAAAAUCCAGGAUCCUGGCUCUGCCAGAGAUCAGAGCUUAAACUUUAGGCAGCAGCCAUCUGUUGGAACAGCUGAAAGAUGCCAAGAAGACUUGCUUCUGAAUCACCAUCAGCAUCUUGCACCCAAGCAUCAGAGAGACACUUGCAGGAGACGACAGGUUUAUAAUGAUUAUCAGUCAGGACUAAGCAAUGAAUUCCAAACUCCAUUGGCAUUUCAGUCUGGAGUAGAUAAAGAGGAAGACAAGAAAGAGCGUCAAAAGCAGUACCUGAGACACAGAAGACUUUUCAUGGAUAUUGAAAGAGAACAAGUAAAAGAACAAAAAAGACAAAAGGAACAAAAGAAGAAAAUUGAAAAGUAAGUUCUUUGAUUUGAUCCUCAUUCUGAGUCUUAAAUUACCUGUUAA
rnacentral:lncRNA from 1 species